UCUAUAUAUAUAUAUAUAUAUAUAUAUAUGGGUAAUAUAUGAUUGUUAUUAUUUAAUUGUAAGAGAUGAGCUGCCAUUGAUAUCAAGUUAAGAUAGAUUUUAAUGGAAAUCAUUUCAUUUCUAUGUAUAUAUAUGAGUGUGCUAUUAUUUAAUUGCAGAGUAGAGAGAGAAACAAUAGAAAUAAGGGGAGAGAAAAAAUAAUGGCAUCUUUGGUAAAUUUAAAGAUGUAAAAGGGUAUUUUCGUCUUAAAAAUUGACUUGUUCUCCACAGGGGCACACGGCUCUCAUAGUCUGUUUUUUUGGACGGAAAUGUUAACUGUGCGUUUUAGUCUACAAACCUUAUGGGGAUUAUGUGAUGAUUUCAAAAUGUCAGGAGUGAUCUGUACCUGGCUCAAACCAUAGGGGGUAGUUAUGGUGCCGACUAAUGUCUUGAACAAUUCUUCUCAUUGCCAUUUUUGGUUUGUUCUAAUUUUUGCUUUGAUCACAUUAGAGGCUGCCAUCAUUUAGUUUUAUUUUCUUGUAAAAUUUUACUUUCUGUUCAUUAUGGUUUGGGAAUUGAGAGCUUUGAUGAGUAUGCCAAUUUUUUUAUUUUAUUUAUUUAUUUUCAAAUUGAGUUUUAGCGACGAAAGUAUGUUGUAAAGAACAUAAUUUGAAUUUUAGUAACCAAAUAUAUUUGUUGUUGAAAAUGUCA